UGGUUCUGGCAUCGAUGAAGAACGCAGCGAAAUGCGAUAAGUAAUGUGAAUUGCAGAAUUCAGUGAAUCAUCGAAUCUUUGAACGCACAUUGCGCCCGCCAGCAUUCUGGCGGGCAUGCCUGUUCGAGCGUCAUUUCAACCCUCGAGCCCCCCUUCCCUCUCGGGGAGGGCGGGCCCGGUGUUGGGGAUCGGCCCUCCCUGCCCUCGCGGCUUGGGCGGCCGUCCCCGAAAUCCAGUGGCGGUCACGCCGCGGGCUCCUCUGCGUAGUAGCAACACCUCGCACUUGGGACCCGGCGCGGCCACGCCGUAAAUCAGACGAAUUUUCUGAAGGUUGACCUCGGAUCAGGUAGGAAUACCCGCUGA
rnacentral:misc_RNA from 1 species